UGACUACUGAGAUUGGCAAAUACGAUUCUCUAACUUGAGGUUGAACUGACCGACUGAUCUGGCUGUAUGAAGACCUGGUUGCUUCAAACUGCUGAAAACUCAAACAGCACAAGCAACAUCUGCACCAAUCUGAUCAGGCCGAGGCUCGAGGGGAAUGGCGAAAAUCCGUACUCCAGGUUUGAAAAUACCUCACUGCGCCGGGGAUUAGUGGGGCUGCUUAAAUGUAUGCCAGGGCAUGUAUUGUAGACUACACAAACACACACAAUGUUCUGUUUUUGCCCCAAAACAAAUUUCUUUGUCAGGCUGAUUCAUGAAAACGGACUCUGGAGAAAAGCGAGGCUUUUGAACUGUGAACCAGAGCAAAUUUGUCUUAGGAUACUGGCAGCCCAGUCAGUGCGGGGAUGGAAGGAGACAGAUUUAAAGGAGAAAGAUGAAUAAAAGAUCAAAGGAUGAAGAGAUCAACAGAUAUUUACUAAAGGGUAGAAAAAGAAACGACAAAGAAAGGGGAAAGAGGGAGAAAAAAAAAAGGAAAAGUGCAAGAGGAGUCGCCAGGCUGUCGUCCCUCCCUGUGGUUUGAGAGGAGAAGUUCCCACUGUGGUUUGUUCCCUCACUCCCUCAUCCUACUCCGCUUCAUCCGGAAUGCCAAACAACUUCCUGUAACCCUCUGUGAUGCUCCUGCCAGGCAAAAACAACUUGCGCGCGCACACAACCUCAUAGGAGCUUGCUGGAGCAAUUAGGCCUAAAUAAGCAGGCAUGUAUAGAAGCGCACAUACAGCACAUUCAACACAGUUCGUGCAACCCGCAGGCAAAGUGCUGUUUUUUUUUGUUUGUUUUUUCUUAACAAACAGACAUUGCUGAGGUUUGCGUGCACACAUUCUUUAGAUAAUGCGUGGGAAGACUUAGGAGACAGCAGGAGACAGAGAGAUGGAAGGAAAGAGGAGUGAAGAGCAGGGAACGAUUAACGAUGAGCUCCGACUGCUGCUGCGGCCGCGUGAGUUGUUGGACAGUGAGCUGCAGGGGUUCAUUUGCUGUGGUCUGAAAAACGACCCAAUUAUCCACAUGCAUUACUAGAAACAGAACAUAUACUGCACCGCUUAAAAAAAGUUGAUUUUUAGGAGGAUUCCAACAAUUAAUAAGAAUCUGCUUGACAGAGUCUUGGACUCUUUAUUUAUACAUCUGCAUAAGUUCUUUAUUGAUGCAAUUUGACCUGUUCUCUGGAUCAUUCAAACCAAUUUCAAAAUGUUAUUAAAUUAAAAGCACACCGAGGAUCUCCGUCUUAUUCUUUUAGGCUUCUGAAUGCAAACUUAUUGGAUACAAUUUAACACUAACAGAUCUAAAAUGCUAAGAUGUUAAAAGUGGUUUGAAAAUUUUGCAAAGUACAGCAGAUAAAUUGGUUCAGAUCUAUAUGAAGCAACAAUGACUAUAAAUAUUAUUUGAGCAGCUGGCAUAGUAACUUUAGUCAGUAACAGGAGUGUUUGUGUGAAUUGGAGCAUGCUCAGUUUAAACAUAAUGAGUCACAGGUAGCCCAUGAGGCGUUUACAACCGCACAAUGGAAGUGACUGUUUCCAUGUGUUUGUGUUUUCUUUUGUCUGGCUGUUGUGGAUUAUUAACUACCCUCUAAGUGAUCAAUUACUCUAAACAUUCUUCAUGACCCUGAGUGCUGGGUCCUAUUAAAGCUGUGUGUGUUUACUCACCACAGAAGUCUGCAGAAUUGGAUGAACCUGUUUGUGUCAGCCUCUUUGGGGCAAGCCAACCCAAUCAAG